UUUGUUUGUUUACAGUUAAGAAGCAUAUUUCCUUGAAAACAUAAAUAGUUAAAUAAUAAUUCAUCUUAUAUCCAUGUAUUAAGGGUAUGUAUGUACAAAAUAGUUUGCCAUUUUUUACAAUAUUGUUAAAACUAAAUCCUUUAUUUGUUCCUGAUCUGACAGGAUGCAUGACAUAUCAGAAUGGUAGAAAUUAAAGGAUUUAGUUUUGAUUUUUUUUAAACGUAAUUUAGAUAUCUUGGUGGUAAUGCAUUAGUUCAGAAUUAACUUUCUCUCAAAACCUAUAAAAACUUUCUAUGUCAAACAUGUCAAGUGACCAUACUCCAUCAUUAUAUGAACUUGAUUUAUAAAGGAUUGAAGAAUUUACAUUUUUUACAA
rnacentral:lncRNA from 1 species